UUAUAAGAGACAGCAGCAGCCGCGGUAAUACGGAGGGUGCAAGCGUUAUCCGGAUUCACUGGGUUUAAAGGGUGCGCAGGCGGAUUUGUAAGUCAGUGGUGAAAUCUGUAGGCUUAACCUACAAACUGCCAUUGAUACUAUAGAUCUUGAAUGUCGCUGAGGUCAGCGGAAUAUAACAUGUAGCGGUGAAAUGCAUAGAUAUGUUAUAGAACACCGAUUGCGAAGGCAGCUGACUAAAGGACGAUUGACGCUGAGGCACGAAAGCGUGGGUAGCGAACAGGAUUAGAUACCCCAGUAGUCCCUGUCUCUUAUAC
rnacentral:rRNA from 1 species